rnacentral:rRNA from 1 species
GCGUGAGUGAAGAAGGCCUUAGGGUUGUAAAACUCUUUCGCCGGUGAAGAUAAUGACGGUAACCGGAGAAGAAGCCCCGGCUAACUUCGUGCCAGCAGCCGCGGUAAUACGAAGGGGGCUAGCGUUGUUCGGAAUUACUGGGCGUAAAGCGCACGUAGGCGGAUUGGUAAGUAGGGGGUGAAAUCCCCGGGCUCAACCCGGGAACUGCCUUCUAGACUGCCAGUCUUGAGGUCAGGAGAGGCGAGUGGAAUUCCGAGUGUAGAGGUGAAAUUCGU